GACGAACGCUGGCGGCGUGCCUAAUACAUGCAAGUAGAACGCUGAAGGAGGAGCUUGCUCUUCUGGAUGAGUUGCGAACGGGUGAGUAACGCGUAGGUAACCUGCCUGGUAGCGGGGGACAACUAUUGGAAACGAUAGCUAAUACCGCAUAAGAGUAGAUGUUGCAUGACAUUUGCUUAAAAGGUGCAAUUGCAUCACUACCAGAUGGACCUGCGUUGUAUUAGCUAGUUGGUGGGGUAACGGCUCACCAAGGCGACGAUACAUAGCCGACCUGAGAGGGUGAUCGGCCACACUGGGACUGAGACACGGCCCAGACUCCUACGGGAGGCAGCAGUAGGGAAUCUUCGGCAAUGGACGGAAGUCUGACCGAGCAACGCCGCGUGAGUGAAGAAGGUUUUCGGAUCGUAAAGCUCUGUUGUAAGAGAAGAACGAGUGUGAGAGUGGAAAGUUCACACUGUGACGGUAUCUUACCAGAAAGGGACGGCUAACUACGUGCCAGCAGCCGCGGUAAUACGUAGGUCCCGAGCGUUGUCCGGAUUUAUUGGGCGUAAAGCGAGCGCAGGCGGUUAGAUAAGUCUGAAGUUAAAGGCUGUGGCUUAACCAUAGUACGCUUUGGAAACUGUUUAACUUGAGUGCAAGAGGGGAGAGUGGAAUUCCAUGUGUAGCGGUGAAAUGCGUAGAUAUAUGGAGGAACACCGGUGGCGAAAGCGGCUCUCUGGCUUGUAACUGACGCUGAGGCUCGAAAGCGUGGGGAGCAAACAGG
rnacentral:rRNA from 1 species